rnacentral:lncRNA from 1 species
CUCUACGUCUUUUUUCCUCUCCGUUGCGAUCCGUUUAUUGAAUGUCAACCCUUUUCUCCCUCAGCCGCCCCAGUAUCUCUUCACCUUCAAGCUGAAUAUGGAUGCGAAUUGUUCAUAGGAUCUCACGGUAUCUCGUUGUCGAGGAGUGAAAAAAUCAAAGCCGAGCUCGACGAUCUGAGAGACCUUACAGAUCUCUGCGGAUUCCUUUGCUUUUCUGCAUCUGGGCUUUUCUUAUUAAUAUAUAUAUAUAUAUUUUUUAUGAUGGGUUGGCGAUAUAAGGCUGGUUUGUUCUUGAUGGCCACCGUUGUUGUUAUAUGGGUCACUUCUGCGGAAGUAACUCAGGUUUGUUCUCUUUGGUUCAACAUUUUCUGGUCCUUGUAACUUUUCUGGUAGUUUGGCUUGUAUAUUUUGUUGAAUUGAAAUCGAUUUUUUGUUUAUACUUGUGUGUUUAUUUCAUGUGGGUUGAGUGAUUGUGGUUGUUAUCUUGACGUUUUCUUUUGGAAUUUGAUUAAGACAAUUGCACUUUGAUACGAUUAAUAUAAUUCGCUUUGUUAUUUUUCCUUCUGGGGAUUGUAUACUUGGCAAGAAAGAUUAGACAAAGAGACUGCAAUAGUUAAUUACGUCUGGGACCAUAAAUCAGCAUGAAUAAGACCUGGGGUUUAUGUUAGUGUUUAAUUAGUGUAGCUGAUUUUCUGGGUUCACGAGAAUUGAAGAGACAGAUACAUGUAUAUAUAGUUUUUCCUUUUUUUUUUUUUUGAAAAAAUAUUUGUAUAUAUUUAUUUUUUCAUUAUUUUUCAUACUCUAAAUAGAGCACAAUAGACGGCAAGGUUAUCCAACGAAAUCACAUUCCAGGAGGCACCCACUUGUCAAUUGGACUCUGCUACCUGGUUUUCUGCUCCUUAGUAACCUUUUCUUUUCCCUUAAGUGAUGCCAUGUGGUCGAAACACGACUAGGAAGUUGUUGAAAAAUUGUUUUUCUCCAUUCAAAUUUGGACAUUUCUGAACUCUUAUUCCAACAUGCAUGCAACGGUGCCUCAUAAGAAGUUCUUAGAUCAUUUCACCAACAUGCUAAUACUUUAACAGCUAAAGCAUAAUCUUCUUUUUGGCAACUUGUGAAGUUUGGAGGCUCUUUAAGUGGAGGGUAUAUAUGCUAUAUAAAGCAUGAAAUGUCUAGCAUUUUAUUUAAUUCAGUGUUACUGUAUCAUUAAUUUUUGUGGUCUGGAGAUACCUGGAUCAUUUCAUCAACAUGGGAAUAAUUUGCCUACUUCAUCUUCUUCUUUUUGGUGGCUUGUGAUGAUGGAUUAUGCUAUGUAGAGCAUAGUCUGUUUAGUGCCUUAAUCAGCAGUUUCUCAUUGCUUUCUUGAUAGGAAGGUGAUUAAUUCCUUUUCUAAUGGUAUUGUGGUCCUCGAAAUUCAUGAUACUUUGG